GUCCCUCAUUCAUGCACUCUUCCAUCUUUUUGCCAUUGUGCCAGCUCAAUUUAAAUGUAUCUGCUCUGUAUCUGUUCAAGUGGAGAUAAUCCAUGCAAAUCAGGAGCCGUGGCUCUCAAUGCCUGGUUCACAGAGAGGACUCAGCUUGAGGAGGUCACUUGUUCACAGCCGCUCCUCCCAUUAUAUUUUUCCCCUUAUUGCAGAACUGCUGUAUGUAUACAGUGACUGAAAGGACUCAAUUUACUGCAACUGCUGCCUGGCUUUACUUACAACUUUUUUUUUUUUAUAAAGGAACUUACCUCCAUCUGUCUUUUCAAGUUUCAGGGUAGAAAGGGUCCCUUUAACUCCUGAAGACUGUAAAUCACAGUCUGUGUGGUGGUUCUCAGAAGACACUUAAAGGACUGAACUGGAUGCUCUACAUAGCACCCUUGCCAAAAGGGUUCGGAAAUGACUUCCAGCUUCCCACAGUAAUAAAAUGGCACUGUUUGGCAUCUUCGAGGUAAUAAAAGUGAAUUUUUUCCAUUCUAGUAAA
rnacentral:sRNA from 1 species